rnacentral:rRNA from 1 species
UACGGAGGGAGCUAGCGUUGUUCGGAAUUACUGGGCGUAAAGCGCGCGUAGGCGGCUUUGUAAGUUAGAGGUGAAAGCCCGGGGCUCAACCCCGGAACUGCCUUUAAGACUGCAUCGCUUGAAUCCAGGAGAGGUGAGUGGAAUUCCGAGUGUAGAGGUGAAAUUCAUAGAUAUUCGGAAGAACACCAGUGGCGAAGGCGGCUCACUGGACUGGUAUUGACGCUGAUGUGCGAAAGCGUGGGGAGCAAACAGG